rnacentral:rRNA from 1 species
AGACCCGAAACCCGGUGAUCUAGCCAUGGGCAGGUUGAAGGUUGGGUAACACUAACUGGAGGACCGAACCGACUAAUGUUGAAAAAUUAGCGGAUGACCUGUGGCUGGGGGUGAAAGGCCAAUCAAACCGGGAGAUAGCUGGUUCUCCCCGAAAGCUAUUUAGGUAGCGCCUCGUGAAUUCAUCUCCGGGGGUAGAGCACUGUUUCGGCUAGGGGGCCAUCCCGGCUUACCAACCCGAUGCAAACUGCGAAUACCGGAGAAUGUUAUCACGGGAGACACACGGCGGGUGCUAACGUCCGUCGUGAAGAGGGAAACAACCCAGACCGCCAGCUAAGGUCCCAAAGUCAUGGUUAAGUGGGAAACGAUGUGGGAAGGCCCAGACAGCCAGGAUGUUGGCUUAGAAGCAGCCAUCAUUUAAAGAAAGCGUAAUAGCUCACUGGUCGAGUCGGCCUGCGCGGAAGAUGUAACGGGGCUAAACCAUGCACCGAAGCUGCGGCAGCGACACUGUGUGUUGUUGGGUAGGGGAGCGUUCUGUAAGCCUGUGAAGGUGUGUCGUGAGGCAUGCUGGAGGUAUCAGAAGUGCGAAUGCUGACAUAAGUAACGAUAAAGCGGGUGAAAAGCCCGCUCGCCGGAAGACCAAGGGUUCCUGUCCAACGUUAAUCGGGGCAGGGUGAGU